UAGCAUAUCAAUAAGCGGAGGAAAAGAAACCAACAGGGAUUGCCCCAGUAACGGCGAGUGAAGCGGCAACAGCUCAAAUUUGAAAUCUGGCCCCAGGCCCGAGUUGUAAUUUGCAGAGGAUGCUUUUGGCGCGGUGCCUUCCGAGUUCCCUGGAACGGGACGCCAUAGAGGGUGAGAGCCCCGUACGGUUGGACACCAAGUCUUUGUAAAGCUCCUUCGACGAGUCGAGUAGUUUGGGAAUGCUGCUCAAAAUGGGAGGUAUAUUUCUUCUAAAGCUAAAUAUUGGCCAGAGACCGAUAGCGCACAAGUAGAGUGAUCGAAAGAUGAAAAGCACUUUGAAAAGAGGGUUAAACAGCACGUGAAAUUGUUAAAAGGGAAGCGCUUAUGACCAGACUUGCGCCCGGUGAAUCACCCAGCUCUCGCGGCUGGGGCACUUUGCCGGCUCAGGCCAGCAUCAGCUCGCUGUCGGGGACAAAAGCUUCGGGAACGUAGCUCUCUUCGGGGAGUGUUAUAGCCCGUUGCACAAUACCCUUCGGCGGGCUGAGGUACGCGCUCCGCAAGGAUGCUGGCGUAAUGGUCAUCAGCGACCCGUCUUGAAACACGGACCAAGGAGUCAACCUUAUGUGCGAGUGUUUGGGUGUCAAACCCCUACGCGUAAUGAAAGUGAACGCAGGUGAGAGCUUCGGCGCAUCAUCGACCGAUCCUGAUGUUCUCGGAUGGAUUUGAGUAAGAGCAUAUAGGGUUGGACCCGAAAGAAGGUGAACUAUGCGUGUAUAGGGUGAAGCCAGAGGAAACUCUGGUGGAGGCUCGCAGCGGUUCUGACGUGCAAAUCGAUCGUCAAAUAUGCGCAUGGGGGCGAAAGACUAAUCGAACCUUCUAGUAGCUGGUUUCCGC
rnacentral:rRNA from 1 species